GGCCCAGACUCCUACGGGAGGCAGCAGUGGGGAAUAUUGCACAAUGGGGGAAACCCUGAUGCAGCGACGCCGCGUGAGCGAUGAAGUAUUUCGGUAUGUAAAGCUCUAUCAGCAGGGAAGAAGAUGACGGUACCUGACUAAGAAGCCCCGGCUAACUACGUGCCAGCAGCCGCGGUAAUACGUAGGGGGCAAGCGUUAUCCGGAUUUACUGGGUGUAAAGGGAGCGUAGACGGCGAUGCAAGCCAGAUGUGAAAGCCCGGGGCUCAACCCCGGGACUGCAUUUGGAACUGUGUGGCUGGAGUGUCGGAGAGGCAGGCGGAAUUCCUAGUGUAGCGGUGAAAUGCGUAGAUAUUAGGAGGAACACCAGUGGCGAAGGCGGCUUACUGGACUGUAACUGACGUUGAGGCUCGAAAGCGUGGGGAGCAAACAGGAUUAGAUACCCCCGUACC
rnacentral:rRNA from 1 species